GAUCAUGGCUCAGGACGAACGCUGGCGGCGCGCCUAACACAUGCAAGUCGAACGGAGCAUUGAGAGCUUGCUUUUAAUGCUUAGUGGCGAACGGGUGAGUAACGCGUGAGUAACCUGCCCUGGAGUGGGGGACGACAGUUGGAAACGACUGCUAACACCGCAUAAGCCCACGGCCCGGCAUCGGGCUGCGGGAAAAGGAUUUAUUCGCUUCAGGAUGGACUCGCGUCCAAUUAGCUAGUUGGUGAGG
rnacentral:rRNA from 1 species